CCUUACCAAGGCUUGACAUGUUCCAGACCGCCUCAGAGGAUGGGGUUUCCCUUCGGGGCUGGUUCACAGGUGGUGCAUGGUUGUCGUCAGCUCGUGUCGUGAGAUGUUGGGUUAAGUCCCGCAACGAGCGCAACCCUCGUUCCAUGUUGCCAGCACGUAGUGGUGGGGACUCAUGGGAGAUUGCCGGGGUCAACUCGGAGGAAGGUGGGGAUGACGUCAAAUCAUCAUGCCCCUUAUGUCUUGGGCUUCACGCAUGCUACAAUGGCCGGUACAAUGGGUUGCGAUACUGUGAGGUGGAGCUAAUCCCUAAAAGCCGGUCUCAGUUCGGAUUGGGGUCUGCAACUCGACCCCAUGAAGUCGGAGUCGCUAGUAAUCGCAGAUCAGCAACGCUGCGGUGAAUACGUUCCCGGGCCUUGUACACACCGCCCGUCAAGUCACGAAAGUUGGUAACACCCGAAGCCGAUGGCCUAACCCCUUGUGGGAGGGAGUCGUCGAAGGUGGGACUGGCGAUUGGGACUAAGUCGUAACAAGGUAGGCGUAGAUGA
rnacentral:rRNA from 1 species